AUAUCCAGCUGCAGACCCGCAGCACCAGCAGUUUCAGAACCGCAGCCACAGAACCGGAAGCGAGGGGCGGAGUUAUUGACAAUGAGAGAGCAGGAGACAUAUAAGGAUUCAGAGAGUUGACACAUUACCUGAGCUGCAGCAGUGCAACAAGUGUUACAGCAAUUACCAGCAAUUUUCUGCUUGACCAGCAUGUUUAAGCCAGCCAAACUGGUCAAAU